rnacentral:rRNA from 1 species
AAAAGGUCUCGUUGGUGACCAGCGGAGGGACAUUACCGAGUUUACAACUCCCAAACCCAAUGUGAACCAUACCAAACUGUUGCCUCGGCGGGGUCACGCCCCGGGUGCGUCGCAGCCCCGGAACCAGGCGCCCGCCGGAGGGACCAACCAAACUCUUUUCUGUAGUCCCCUCGCGGACGUUAUUUCUUACAGCUCUGAGCAAAAAUUCAAAAUGAAUCAAAACUUUCAACAACGGAUCUCUUGGUUCUGGCAUCGAUGAAGAACGCAGCGAAAUGCGAUAAGUAAUGUGAAUUGCAGAAUUCAGUGAAUCAUCGAAUCUUUGAACGCACAUUGCGCCCGCCAGUAUUCUGGCGGGCAUGCCUGUCCGAGCGUCAUUUCAACCCUCGAACCCCUCCGGGGGGUCGGCGUUGGGGACCUCGGGAGCCCCUAAGACGGGAUCCCGGCCCCGAAAUACAGUGGCGGUCUCGCCGCAGCCUCUCCUGCGCAGUAGUUUGCACAACUCGCACCGGGAGCGCGGCGCGUCCACGUCCGUAAAACACCCAACUUUCUGAAAUGUUGACCUCGGAUCAGGUAGGAAUACCCGCUGAACUUAAGCAUAUCAAUAAGCGGAGGA